rnacentral:rRNA from 1 species
AGAAGCAGCCAUACAUUCAAAGAGUGCGUAAUAGCUCACUAGUCGAGAGGUCCUGCGCCGAAAAUGUCCGGGGCUGAAACACACUACCGAAGCUCAGGAAUGUACUUGUACAUUGGUAGGGGAGCAUUGUAUACGGGAAGAAGCAGUACCGAUAAGGAGCUGUGGACUGUAUAGAAGAGAGAAUGCCGGAAUGAGUAGCGAGAGGAAGGUGAGAAUCCUUCCGGCCGAAUAUCUAAGGUUUCCAGAGUAAAGCUGAUCUGCUCUGGGUAAGUCGGGGCCUAAGGCCAGGUCGAAAGACGUAACCGAUGGACAACAGGUUGAAAUUCCUGUACCGCGAUAUAACAGAACUGUGGGGACACGUGUGGAGAGCACAAGCCGGGAAUGGAAAGCCCGGCGCAAGCAAGGUAGGAGUCGUACUGGCAAAUCCGUACGGCAAUCCGAAGAUGUGAUGCGUACCGAAUUAAGAGUAGGGAAGAGUGUGAGCCAUGCGUCAAGAAAAGCCGCUAUUGUUUGUAUCGCGCCCGUACCGUAAACCGACACAGGUGGAUGAGGAGAGAAUCCUAAGGCCGACGGGAGAAGCAUUGUUAAGGAACUCGGCAAAAUGACUCCGUAACUUCGGGAGAAGGAGUGCCACUGAGAGGUGGCCGCAGAGAAUUGGUCCAAGCAACUGUUUAGCAAUAACACAGGUCUAUGCAAAACCGAAAGGUGAAGUAUAUGGGCUGACGCCUGCCCGGUGCUGGAAGGUUAAGGGGAGAGGUUAGCGCAAGCGAAGCUUUGAACUUAAGCCCCAGUAAACGGCGGCCGUAACAAUAACGGUCCUAAGGUAGCGAAAUUCCUUGUCGGGUAAGUUCCGACCCGCACGAAAGGCGUAAUGAUUUGGGCACUGUCUCAACAAUGCACCCGGUGAAAUUGAAAUACCAGUGAAGAUGCUGGUUACCUGCGCCAGGACGGAAAGACCCCAUGGAGCUUUACUCCAGCUUGAUACUGGGAUUCGGUAUUGCAUGUACAGGAUAGGUGGGAGGCUAAGAAGCGGUAACGCCAGUUGCUGUGGAGCUGCUGUUGGGAUACCACCCUUGCAGUACUGGGUUUCUAACCAGCGGCCUUAAUCAGGUCGGGGGACAAUGUCAGGUGGGGAGUUUGACUGGGGCGGUCGCCUCCGAAAGGGUAUCGGAGGCGCUCAAAGGUUCCCUCAGAAUGGUCGGAAACCAUUCGGAGAGUGCAAAGGCAGAAGGGAGCUUGACUGCGACACCGACGGGUGGAGCAGGUACGAAAGUAGGACUUAGUGAUCCGGUGGUAUAAAGUGGGAUUGCCAUCGCUCAACGGAUAAAAGCUACCCUGGGAUAACAGGCUUAUCACUCCCAAGAGUUCACAUCGACGGAGUGGUUUGGCACCUCGAUGUCGGCUCAUCGCAUCCUGGGGCUGAAGUAGGUCCCAAGGGUUGGGCUGUUCGCCCAUUAAAGCGGUGCGCGAGCUGGGUUCAGAACGUCGUGAGACAGUUCGGUCCCUAUCCGGCGUGGGCGUAGGAUAUUUGAGAGGAGCUGUCCUUAGUACGAGAGGACCGGGAUGGACUGGCCGCUGGUUGAUCUGUUGUUCCGCCAGGAGCAUAGCAGAGUAGCCAAGCCGGGACGGGAUAAACGCUGAAGGCAUCUAAGCGUGAAGCCCCCCUCAAGAUGAGAUAUCCCAACGAAAGUUGUAAGACCCCUUGAAGACGACGAGGUAGAUAGGACAGAGGUGGAAGUGUGGUAACACAUGGAGCUGACUGUUACUAAUAGGUCGAGGGCAUAACC